rnacentral:rRNA from 1 species
AUGGAGCCGACCUUGAAAUACCACCCUUUAAUGUUUGAUGUUCUAACGUUGACCCGUAAUCCGGGUUGCGGACAGUGUCUGGUGGGUAGUUUGACUGGGGCGGUCUCCUCCUAAAGAGUAACGGAGGAGCACGAAGGUUGGCUAAUCCUGGUCGGACAUCAGGAGGUUAGUGCAAUGGCAUAAGCCAGCUUGACUGCGAGCGUGACGGCGCGAGCAGGUGCGAAAGCAGGUCAUAGUGAUCCGGUGGUUCUGAAUGGAAGGGCCAUCGCUCAACGGAUAAAAGGUACUCCGGGGAUAACAGGCUGAUACCGCCCAAGAGUUCAUAUCGACGGCGGUGUUUGGCACCUCGAUGUCGGCUCAUCACAUCCUGGGGCUGAAGUAGGUCCCAAGGGUAUGGCUGUUCGCCAUUUAAAGUGGUACGCGAGCUGGGUUUAGAACGUCGUGAGACAGUUCGGUCCCUAUCUGCCGUGGGCGCUGGAGAACUGAGGGGGGCUGCUCCUAGUACGAGAGGACCGGAGUGGACGCAUCACUGGUGUUCGGGUUGUCAUGCCAAUGGCACUGCCCGGUAGCUAAAUGCGGAAGAGAUAAGUGCUGAAAGCAUCUAAGCACGAAACUUGCCCCGAGAUGAGUUCUCCCUGACUCCUUGAGAGUCCUGAAGGAACGUUGAAGACGACGACGUUGAUAGG